rnacentral:rRNA from 1 species
UUGACCUCAAAUCAGGUAGACACCUCGG